GGGCAGUAUGAAGAGGUGAAAGGUCACGUUAUGUAAGCGCUGGUGACAGGCCUGCGGGCCUCCAGCGGCGGAGUUGAAAAUGGGGGUCAGCGGGGGACCGAAAGGCCUGGAAUUCAAAGAGGUCAGACCAGAGAAGCCCCUUAACAUAUACAGACACUGCGCCAUCUGUCACCGACGGCGACACCGACAUCCGGGCACCACUGUCCGUGUGGUGCGCCGGAGGGGGAGGGGGAGCGCGCGGCCAGGGGCUUUGUCUUUCCACCGUGCUCCGCCCCCUCCUUAAAGGCGCCGCGUUCGGCCACGCCCGGGGAGGCGCGGGUGGGGCGGAAAGAGAGGAGGGGUUGGCGGGAAUAAGCCCCAAGAUCUUACCCAAGCGAAGGUUCUCCUGAAGAACAGCUUGAGCCCCCAGUCUUGCUCACCCCAAAGUUAACUUCUGGAAGAGAGUGUGGUGGAGAUGUGGAUACUAGUAUGGUGCUUGUUUUUAGGGGCUUGGUGGAAAGGAUCAUACAGGAGCUUCUUCGGAAAAAUAUACUAAAAGACAUUCCUAGUAAAGAUACAUCCAUUAACUCUAAUAGUCUUUCGCAGCACCUCCAAAGUUGAGGGCUCUGGACUGGGAGCUUCAGAGGAAAAACAAAAAAUAAGACAGAGACAGUUCUGAGAAAACAAGAGGCACGAAUAAUGCCAGUUCGGUGAAGAGUGCUGUCGGAAGUGCACAGUCCGAAGACAGCAGUAACUCCCUGGAGAGUGACGACAUUUGAGCUGCUUCCCCGAGCACACUACACCCACGUAGUCCAAACUAUGUCCUACCCAGGACAAGCCGAAACACUCACGGAUAAUUCUCUCCCUAAUUAAAUUGUCCCCUUCCGUUCAAAGAUCUUCACUGGCCUCAGAACAUACCUCCCCAGCCUGUUCUUCAACAGGGCGGAGAAAGCGGGGGUGCAUGGCAAUGCCAGACCCUUUUCUUCUCAUCUUGAGGUGGGAAGUCUCCCCCCAGGGAAGGGUAAGUACCAGGUCAGUCGCCAUCCCAAUGGAGCCUCCUCUGGUCACCUAGCAGAGAUAGGACUGCAUCCUCCUUCGGUAGCUAUUUCUUCUAAAAGGAUUAUGAGCAACCUCGGAGGACAGGACAUUUGAGUCGAUUGUGAAAAGCCCUUACCCCAUCAACAUUCUGGGACGGUGGUGGAGACUGCUAGCCUGAUACCUUAGAGUAUCAGUGAAGUGGUGCUAAGGUGAUGUCAACAAAAGAAGAGAAUGGUUUCCAUCUCACCUUUUCCAUUAUCCCACAUGUUCCUUCGUGGACUCCACACCUGCUACAGUAUGCUCUAGAAGGUUCUAUGCAAAGGUCCAUUCCCUAGCCAGGCUGUCUCCUGAGGGAUAGGAUUCC